rnacentral:lncRNA from 1 species
GCAUGCUGUGGGGUGCCCCUUUAGAUGAAGAUAAAAAACAUAAUGUUGGGUUGGAGCUCGUGCCAUUUAUAGAGGAGGCGGUUGAUCUUUUGGGAAAACCUAAUAUUUCUGAUUUUUUUCCUAUCCUUGCCCCGUUGGAUUUACAAGGAAUUGUAUCAAAAAUGCUAAAGAUCAGAUUGCGAUUCGAUAAUAUUUUUGAAUCAGUGAUUGCAAUAAAAAAAAGCACGAAGACGAGUAACCAAAGCAAAGAUUUUUUGCAAAUUUUGUUGGAGCUUAUGCAGCAAGAAGAUGAAAAGAUGCUAUUUUCCAUGACUAACAUCAAGGCUUUGUUACUGGUAAGUUAAAACUUAAUUUAUACGUAAAUAUUUAGAUGUUAAUAAUUUUGUUUAUAUAUAUGUACAGGAUAUUAUUUCGGCAACAACAGAGACAUCAUCGACUACGGUAGAAUGGGUAAUGACAGAAUUAUUAAAAAAUUCAGAUAUAAUGAAAAAAGUACACGAAGAAUUGGAGAGAGUUGUUGGUAAUGAAAAGAUUGUAGAAGAGUGUGAUAUAAACCAACUACAUUAUUUACAGUCUGUAGUGAAAGAAACAAUGAGAUUACAUCCAGUUGGUCCUCUUCUUAUCCCGCACAGUCCCAGUGUGUCAACAACUAUAGCCGGCUACACCAUUCCUAAAGGCUCAAGUGUUUUUAUUAAUGUUUGGUCAAUAAUGAGAGAUCAUGAGACUUGGAAAAAUCCACUUAAAUUUCAACCUGAGAGAUUCUUUGAACAUCCAGAAAUUGGUGAUUACAGAGGAAAUAAUUUCAAUUAUCUACCUUUUGGAUCAGGGAGGAGAAUAUGCGCCGGGAUUAAUUUAGCAGAGAAGAUGGUAAUGAAUGUGUUAGCCACUCUCUUACAUUCUUUUGAUUGGAAAGUGGAAAAUGCUACAAAUCUGAAUUCAUCUGAAAAAUUUGGUAUCGUAGUGAGAAAAUUGGAUCCUUUAAUGGCGAUACCAACUAUUAGAUUGCCUACUUUAGAGCAAUACUAUUAAAUAUGAGAGAAUCUAUUAAAUUAUAAUAAAAAAAUUAUGAUAUAAAUUUAGUAUAAAUAAUAAAUUAUGAACCAUGUAGCAGAAAUUUCUAAAUAUGUUUCUAAUUGUAAAUCGUAUUUGAAAUAUUUGAAAUAAAAUGCUAUUGUUUGUCUCUCGUUUAAAAUAAAUAUACUAAAUUUUUCUUUGAGUUUUGCCAAUCAACUGAACUGUCUUUCUUAAUUAAGUAAUAAGUAAGACUAGUCAUAUUUGAUAAUAUCAAAAAUAAUCUUUGGAUGACGAACAAUGAAAAAGAUCUUGUUAAAGUUUAAGACUACAACAACUGAACUUAAAAAGCAAGAUCGGUAGAGCUGCAAAGAAAAAACAGAUUAAAUAUUUAAGAAUCUGAAAUCGCAACUCUCUACCUCAAGACAAUGAAGAAAAAAUUUUUUCCCUUAAAAAAAAUAAGUCUUUUUUUAGUUUUAUUUAUUACAGUUCUAAAACUUUGAAAUUUUAAUUUUUGUAUAAUAAGACAAAAUAUAAGUUAUUGUAAGCUUAUUGAAUAUAUGUAUCACUCUAUAUAAACUUAAAAAGUUAUAUGUAGAAUAAGAACAUGCAUGCCCAUUUUAUUAUUCCUGUAAAUAUUAAUUAAAAUUAGGGUUAUAUUCUUCGUCGGCAAUUAUUCUAUCCAAACCACCCGACUCAAUGCAGUAUUCCAAAUAAAUUUAUGGUUUAAGAUUCAGUUGAUAGGAAACUAUGUGCAAUGCAAGACAAAUUUAGGUUUAAGUUUUUACAUACUAAAUUUUGCUCAUAAAAAAUUCACCAUGCUUAUAUGUAUUUUUUAUUUUUUAUUAAUAUUAUUGUAACGGUUCCGAAAAUCUAAAAAAAAAAAAAGAUAAUAACUUAAGUACGGAAUCGAAAUAAAAAAGUUAAGAUAUACAUUCCUUACACAAUAAUUUAAAAGUACUAAACAACAUUACAUAAUUCACCAUUUUGAAAGAAACACAAGAAAUAAGGAAAUAAACGGAAAAGAGAAAAUAUCUAGCAUCUACUCACAAUCUUCUUGUGGAUCGGGCUCUGAAAUCUGAUCCUCUUGAUCUGAAACGGUUAAAUAAAGAAUGAGGUAUACUACCCCAGUAAAGAUAUCACAGUAUAUCACCGACACAGAAAUAAAGAUGAGUAUAAAAAUAAAAACAAUUAAUAGAGCACUAAAUUUAGCAAAUCUAUUUAUCAAUCAUAAAAUCAUUUACCAUUCACUUACCACAAUUGAAUUUAUGAAAAUAACUUGUGCAGAUAAUGAUAUCAUACGGAUCAUAAUUUCAUGUAAGAUUAGCAACAUAAUACAUAUCAUAAAUCUAUACACAUAUUCAAAUAACCAAACAUAACUGUUACCUUUUCACCAGCCUACUAGUAUCCAUGGAGGCUCAUAGGGAUGUCCCUACUACACGUGACCCAUUUCCUUUAACAAUCUCAAUUACAGCGCGUCUACAUGCCUCGUCCGGGUAUGAGUGCCAAGUUUAUUAAACCUCAAUACUCCGUCCGGUAUGAGACAACGUUCACGGUAAGGGUUUCCUAUAUACUCGGUCCGUUCACCAUCUCUCAGAUAUCUAGUAAAGCUGCCGUUCCAUCUAUUAUUUAAUCACACAACUUUUCNNNNNNNNNNNNNNNNNNNNNNNNNNNNNNNNNNNNNNNNNNNNNNNNNNNNNNNNNNNNNNNNNNNNNNNNNNNNNNNNNNNNNNNNNNNNNNNNNNNNNNNNNNNNNNNNNNNNNNNNNNNNNNNNNNNNNNNNNNNNNNNNNNNNNNNNNNNNNNNNNNNNNNNNNNNNNNNNNNNNNNNNNNNNNNNNNNNNNNNNNNNNNNNNNNNNNNNNNNNNNNNNNNNNNNNNNNNNNNNNNNNNNNNNNNNNNNNNNNNNNNNNNNNNNNNNNNNNNNNNNNNNNNNNNNNNNNNNNNNNNNNNNNNNNNNNNNNNNNNNNNNNNNNNNNNNNNNNNNNNNNNNNNNNNNNNNNNNNNNNNNNNNNNNNNNNNNNNNNNNNNNNNNNNNNNNNNNNNNNNNNNNNNNNNNNNNNNNNNNNNNNNNNNNNNNNNNNNNNNNNNNNNNNNNNNNNNNUUUUUACCUUUUUUGGCGGUCGGAAAUGGUUCUAGUGUGGUGGUGGGUGGCAACGGUCUGCUCCCCGGCGGUUGGGUCAUCUUCUCCGGCGAGGGGGUCUAGUGGAUAGGGUUAGGGUUUGGUGCAGAUGGGGGUUAUUUAUAUCCGUCCACUUUUGAUCUGGACCGUCCAUCGCGUUUGAUCUUGACCGUCCGAUCGCAAUUAAAUAGGUAAUGAAUCUAACCAUUCAUCGCGAUCAAAUCUGGACCGUCCAUCGCAAUCCACUCUGGGCCGUUCGAUCACAUUUGAAUCUGACCAUCCGAUCACAUUUGGGAGGGAGCGCAUCCAAGCCGUCCGUGCGCGCGAGAACUAACCUGGACCGUUCAAUCGCAGGCACGUGGAUCACCCGCGUGGCUUUCCGUGUGGCACUGCGUCAGCGUCCGUUGCCACGUGGCGCAUCCAGGUUCAUUGGGACAGCUGACCGGACGUCCCACGUGGUAGAACUUUUUCAAAUUACACUUUGACCCUUAGUUUCUGAUUUUUCUUUCAAAAAUAUCUUCAGAACCCAAAUAUUUACCUCUUUUCCCCAAAAUUAUUUCUAAUUUCAUCCUCAUUCAAUUUUUACCCCAAAUAAAAUAAAAUAAAAUACAACAAAAUAAAAUAAAUUAAUAAAAAAUUAAUUUAUUAAUUAUGUAAUCACACACAAAAUUUUAUUUAUUUUAUUUUAUUAUUUUUUUUGUGGGUGUUACAAUUCUCUCAUUCUUAAAAGAAAUUUAGUUUUUCAAAUUUGUCUCUCACUCUCAAUCAAACAGCUGGGGAUAUUGGACUCUGAAGUCUGAUUCUAACUCCCAUGUAGCCUCCCUCGAUGUGUGGUUCUGCCAUAUGACUUUUACAAAGGAAAUUUUUUGGUUGCGGAGUAAUCUGCUCUUUCGAUCCACAAUGCCGACCUGUACUUCCUCGUAUGACAGAUCCUCCUAGAGUGGAAGAGGCUCGUGGGCCAAAAUAUGAGAGCGGUCCGGGUUGUACUUGCGUAGCAUGAACACAUGAAACACAUUAUGAACCUUGUAAAGUUCUGGAGGUAGUGUUAGUCUAUAGGCGGCGGUACCAAUUCUAUCUAAGAUUUCAAAUGGUCCAAUAAAUCGGGGAUUCAGUUUUUUCCUCUUACCGAACCUACUAAUUCCCUUAAAGGGAGUGACCUUAAGGAACACUCGAUUACCUUUCUCAAAUUUCAAAUCCCUCAUCCGGGUGUCCGCAUAGCUCUUCUGCCUGCUCUGAGCCAUCUGAAUGUUCUUCCUGAUCUUAACUAUUUUGGAUGUAGUCUCCUCUACCAGAUUUGGGCCGAAUAGUUUCUAUCGCCCACUUCUUCCCAACAAAUCGGCGAUCUACAUGGGCGCCCAUAUAAUGCCUCAUACGGAGCUGUGCCAAUACUCGCUUAGUAGCUGUUGUUGUAGGUGAACUCUAUCAGGGGUAAAUGGUUAUCCCAAUGGCCCUCGGAGUCAAAGACACAAGCUCAGAGCAUAUACUCAAGUGUACAUAUUGUCCUUUCUGACUGUCUAUCGGUCUGAUGGUGGAAUGCAGUACUAAGGGAUAGUUUCGUUCCCAUGGCUUGCUGAAACCUAUACCAAAAUCGAGAAGUGAACCUGGGGUUCAUGUCGGACACUACAACCACUGACACUCUAUGUAAUCUGAUUAUUUUUCGGAUAUACAUUCUUACUAACUUGUCCAAGGGAUCGGUCAUCUUGAUGACCAAAAAGUGGGAAGACUUGGUAAGCCGAUCAACAAUUACUCAGAUGACAUCAUGUUCUGAGCGUGCCUAAGGUAAUCUUGUCAUAAAGUCCAUGGUGAUAUGUUCCCACUUCUAUUUCGGGAUCGGUAAUGGCUAAAGUAGCUCGCCUGGGUGUUGAUGCUCUGCCUUAAUAUGCUGACAUACCAAACACUUAGAAACAAUGUCAGCUAUAUCUCUUUUCAUCCCGUUCCAUCAAAAUCGGGGUCGCAUAUUUUGGUAUAUUUUAGUGCUUCUAGGAUGCAUGACAAACUUUAAGUUAUGAGUCUCUGUCAUAAUGUUCAUCUUUAACUCACUGUCACCUGGAACACACACCUUGUCCUGGAAUCUGAGUAACCCAUUGGUGGAGACUCGAAAUUCUGAUCUAACUUCCUGUUCUGCAUCUUUCUUGAGGGCUACUAGGGUGGAAUCGACGGACUGAACUUCUUUUAUUCUUUAAAUUAACUCAGGCUGAAUGGUCAAGUGACCCAAACAUGUGACUCUCCUCAGGUCCUGAAACUGUAGCUGUUGUGUGGCCCCAAUCUGCUUACAUUAUGAAACCAUCAAAUGGGCUAAUGUACCUAUACUUUUUCUGCUGAGUGCAUUGGCUACCACAUUGCCUUUAUUCGGGUGAUACAAGAUGUCACAAUUGUCUUUAAGAAGUUCUAUCCACUUUCUCUGACAGGUGUUGAGAUCCUUUUGAGUGAAUAUGUGUUUCAAACUUUUGUGAUCGGUAUAGAUCUGAAAGGUCUCCCCAUACAAAUAAUGGCGCAAAGUCUUCAAGACAUGUAUGAUUGCGACAAGCUCUAAGUCAUGGGUGGGAUAGUUUCUCUCAUGACUCUUCAACUUUCUAGACCCAUAGGCUAUGACAUUCUUAUGCUGCAUCAAAACACAACUCAGGCCUAGGCAGGAGACAUCACUGUAAACUAUAUACCCCCCCGAUCCACUCGGCAAUGCCAAUAUAGGUGCAGUAGUCAGCUGCUUCUUUAGCUCUAAAAAACUUCUUUCACAGUCCUCGUUCCACUCAAACUUGACAUUAUUCUUUGUGAGUCGAGUCAAGGGAGCAGCUAGACUAGAAAACCCUUCCACAAACUGCGAUAAUAACCCACCAUCCCUAAAAAGUUACAGAUCUCCUUAACUGAUGUCAAUUUUUCCCAACCGAACACUACUUCAACAUUUUCAGGGUUCACUGACACUCCAUCCUUUAAUAUGAUGUGUCUAAGGAAGGUGGUCUACUCAAGCCAGAAUCCACACUUACUCAGCUUUGCAUACAGCUUAUUCUAUCUGAGAACCUACAAAACCCGAGUCAGAUGAUAAGCGCGUUCAUAUCUGCUUUUUGAAUAAAUCAGAAUGUUAUCGAUGAACAUAAUAACAAACAGAUCCAGAAAUUGUCUGAAAAUCCUGUUCAUCAAGUCCAUGAAGAUGGUUGAGGUGUUGGUUAGAGCAAAUGACAUGACCAGAAACUCAUAAUGUCCGUAUCUGGUUCGAAAUGUUGUUUUGGAGAUAUUUUCUACCCUUAUUUUUACCUGAUGGUAACCUGAACGCAUGUCUAUUUUGGAGAAGACCUGGACACCCUGUAACUGAUCGAAGAGAUCGUCAAUCCUGGGGAUGAGAUACUUGCUCUUGAUUGUUACUCUGUUCAGACCUCUAUAAUCAAUACAUAACCUCAAUGUCCCAUCUCUCUUUCUGGCAAAGGUGACUCUAACACCCCAACGGGACACACUAUAUCGGAUAAACCCACUGUCUUGCAAUUCAGUGAUAUGUUUCCUCAAUUCCUCUAUCUCAACACGGCUCAUGCGGUAAGGAACGACUGAAAUGGGCUGGGUGCCUGGCUGAAGGUCUAUUGUGAAUUCGACUUCUCUUUCCACUGGUAGUCCAGGUAAUUCACAUGAAAAUACAUAUAUAAAGUCUCGGACUACCGGAAUCCCUUGAAUACAAAUAUCUUUCUUGGGUUUGCCUAAUUAAAGAAAACAGCAGGGUUAAAGUACUUGAUAAUAAAAAAAUUUAUCUUGAGGGAAAAAAAAUACUAAACAAUUUUUAUUAAUUUAUAAAUGGCUCCUCAUUAAGAAGAUUGAAUACAACCUUCUUGCUAAAGUAAUCUACGGUGGCGUAAUAUGCUGCUACCCAGUUCAUUCAUAAAAUUACAUCAAAGUCUCUUGUGUCUAAUUCUAUUAGGUCCACACUCAAUUUUCUAUCUGCUAUAUUUAUGACACAAGCUCUGUAUAUAGCUUCUCUCAAUAGUGUCAUACUCCCAGCAGUAGACACAAACAAUACAAAAUCAAGUUUAUCAAGUAAUAUAUUAAAUUUUGAUACAAAAAUAUGUUAAACAAAUGAAUGUAAUGCACUAAUAUCAAUCAAAAUAUGAGCAAGAUAAUUACAGAUAGUAUACAUAUCCUGUACCACAUCCGGGUUAGCUUCUGCAUCAUGCUGGGUGAGAUUGUAAGCUCUGCCCUGGAUAUGAGGUCUUCCCUAAUUCUGGUUCCUUGGGCACUCCUUCGCAUAAUGUUGGACACUACCACAUAUGCGACAGGUGUUGUUGAGGCAAUAGCAGGAUCGGUCCCCAUGAUCCCUGCCACAAUGCUGACAGAUCUUACCGCAUCCUGCCAUUGGAGCUUGAGCGGGAGCCUGGAUCACCGGCUUGGGCCUCUUGUUCUGUUGAACAGGCGCAGUAGGUGCUAGUCUGCGGGAUGAAGUUGAGGGUUUAAGGUUUCAUACUGCCUGAGAGAGGGUACAUAAGCUCCUCUCCACUACCUGUGCCUUGGCCAGAACGGCCGAAUAAAUCCUGAGCUCCAGCACAAACAAAUGAUGUAUGAUCUCUGGGUGGAGACCCCACUCGAACCUUCUAGCCUUCCCUCCUUCAUCCAACAAUAUCUCAGGAGAAUAUCGACCCAACUCUAGAAACUUGCGAGCAUAUUCUGACACAGUUAUAUUCCCCUAGACCAACUAUACAAACUUCAUCUCUUUCAAAUGUUGGAGAUGCUCUAGAAGGUAUUCUGCACGAAAAGCCGCCAGGAACUGUUCCCAAGUAACUGACAGGUAGGGUAGUCUGUUUGAGUUCCCACCAGCGGUCUGUUUCUCCAACUAGCAUGUAGGUAGCAAAUGUGACUUUCUGUUUGGGAGUCACUCCCAAGGUCUUGAAAGCCUUCUCUGUCUCUGCUAACCAGUACUCGACAUCUUCAAAAGAGGAUCCCACUACAAAAGAAGAUGAGUUUGAUCUCUUAUACCCCUUUAUAUAGCCUGGUCAAUCAUGGGAGGAGCUGGAUCCCGUGGAAGAGGGACUAGGCCAUGCUGAGGAUAGACUGGGUGGCCCUGCGGUGGUACUUGCUGAUACGGUGGGGGCACCAGAUUGUACUAUGGCAGUGCCGGGUGGUACUGUGGUUGGAGCACCAGAUCAUACUAUAGUGGUGCCGGGUGAUACUGUGGAGGAGUAAGGUCGUACCAGGGUAGUUUGAGAUUCUCUCGUUGCAGGGGUGGCUCAACCUGUGGUAGUGGAGGAGGGUCAGGUAGCUCCCUCCUUUCCUCCCGGCCCUGCUGGGCAGCAUUGAAUCUCUCCAGCAUCUCAAAUAUUCGGUCAACAUCUUCUCUAAGCGAGCCAUCCCGGGCUGCUCGGUUUAGUGGGAGUCUUUCUUUCCUCAUCUAUCUGUACCUACAUUUCACAAGGAGCAGUUGAGUGAUAAUUCAUUGUUUUAGUGUUCCCUAAGAAUUUUGUGUAAGGAAUGGUCUGAGGAACGUGGCUCUGGUACCGGCUGUAACAUUCUCAAAAAUCUAAAAAAAAUAGAUAAUAACUUAAGUGCGGAAGCGAAAUAAAGGAAUAAGGUUUAUAUUCUUUACACAAUAACUUAAAAGUACUAAACAACAUUACGAAAUUCACCAUUUUGAAAGAAACACAAGAAAUAAGGAAAUAAACAGAAAAGAGAAAAUAUCUAACAUCUACUUGCAAUCUUCUUAUGGAUUGGGCUUUGGAACCUGGUCCUCCUGAUCUGAAAUGGUUAAAUAAGGAAUGAGUUACACUACCCCAGUAAGGAUAUCACAGUAUAUCACCGACAUACAAAUAAAGGUGGGUAUAAAAAUAAAAACAACUAAUAAAGUACUAAAUUUAGCAAAUCCAUUUAUCAAUCAUAAAAUUAUUUACCGUUCACUUAUCACAGUAGAAUUUAUGAAAAUAAUAUAUGCAGACAAUAAUAUCAUACGGAUCAUAAUUUUAUGUAAAAUCAGUAACAUAGCACAUAUCAUAAAUCUAUACACAUCGUCAAAUAACUAAACAAUAACUGUCACAUUUUCACCAGCCUACUAGUAUCCAUGAGGGUUCAUAAGGAUGUCCCCGCUACACGUGACCCAUUUCCUUUAACAAUCUCAAUUACGGGCUGUCCCCAUACCUCGUCCAGUAUGAGCACUAAAUUAUUAAACCUCAAUACCCCGUCUGGUAUAAGGGUGAAGCAGGUCGUCCCCAUACUCCGUCCGGUAUGAGCGUCAAAUUACCAAGUCUCUAUAGCCCAUCCGGUAUGAGACAACGUUCACGGUAGAGUUCUCUAUAUACCCGGUAUGUCCACCAUCUCUCAGGAUAUUUAGUAAGGGUGUCGUUCCAUCUGUUUAAUCAUAUAACUUUCCUGUUUUCCUUUACUCUCCAUUUUCCAAAUCAACCAUGAUCACAUAAGCAAACAAACAUGCAUAAGGGAAUGCAAUCAUAUCUUAAUUUCUCAAUCAAACAGUAGUCACGUAAGGCAGCAAUUUAUGCAUUCAAAUCAUAAAAUUGAUAAACCAAAUACCAUCAUACUUUUAGACUGUAAAAUAAAUCAACAGAAAUUAACAGAGAAAAAUUUCCGAUUCGGGCUCCAUUAGCAAUCCGUAAUUAAUUUUGUAUAUUUAUUUAAUUUGCACAAAUAUUAUAUUAUUAUUUAUUUACACUUCAAUUCUAUGAUAGGGAAUAGGGUGAGAGAUCCUUACUCGAUUUGACAUCCGAAAAGAUAAGCUGUUUACUGCGUCUACGGGGGAUCCCUGGGUUUUCUGAAUUUUUCUUCGGGAAUUAAAAUGCAUUAAUGGUACCUACAAAUAUUCUAAACAAACUCGAAAUCAGUCCCAGGGCCCACUCGGCCAAUUUCCAAAUUAUGGCACAACGGCUCCUCUGUGCUCCGGCGACGACGCCACUGCCCGCGGCAUCGGUCUGCUUCAGGCUGGCUAUUUUCGGCCAUUUUUUGAUCGAUUUUGCAUCGAUCUCUGCAAGAAAACACGUUAAGGGGUCUCGGUUGGCUAAAAAAAUACAAAAAAUUGAAACUCACCAGCGGCGGGGCUCUUUGGUGCAGCGGCUCCUCCGACUCACAUUGCGGUUGGAUGUUUUGCUCUGGUCAACCUGUAGAGAAUGACACGGUGAUCACAACGGUGGAAAAAUUAUACAAAAUGAAAAAUCGGGAAGGGCCUCAUCGGAGGCGUUUUGUGAAAUUCUCUGCGGCGGCAUCGCCGGGCUUAGCCGGCGUUUUUCAGCCAAUUGACGUGUCUUUUUGCUCCAAUUUGGCUAUGGGUGAGCUUAAAAUUGAAUUUCGUGCAAAAGAAAAAGUUUUUACCUUUUUUGGCGGUUGGAAAGGGUUCCGGAUGCUGCAGCGGGUGGCAGCGAUCUGCUCCCUAGCGGCUAGGUUGUCUUCUUCGACAAUGGGGUCUGGCGGUUAAGGUUAGGGUUUGGUGCGGAUGAGGGUUAUUUAUAUCCGUCCGCUUUUGAUCUGGACCGUCCAUCGCGUUUGAUCUAGACCAUCCGAUCGCGAUUAAAAAAGGAGUGAAUCUGGACCGUUCAUCGCGAUCCACUCUGAACCGUCCGAUCGCAUUUGAAUUUGGCCGUUCGAUCGCAUUUGGGAGGGAGCACAUCCAGGCCCUCCGUGCGUGCAGGAACACACCUGGGCCGUUCGAUCGCGGACACGCGAAUCGCCUGCAUGGCUUCCCGCAUGGAACCGCAUCACCGCUCGUUGCCACGUGGCACGUCCUGCUUCGUCGGGGCUGCUGACCAGACGUCCCACGUGGCAGAACUUUUCCAAAUUGCACUUUGACCUCUGGUUUUCGAUUUUUCUUUCUAAAAUAUCUUCAGAACCCAAAUUUUUACCCAAUUUCUCCAAAAUAGUUUCCAAGUUCAUCCUCGUUCAAUUUUUAAUUCAUUUUUAUCCUAAAUAAAAUAAAAUAAAAUACAACAAAAUAAAAUAAAUUAAUAAAGAAUUAUAUUUAUUAAUUAUUUAAUUACACACAAAUUUUUAUUUUUUUUAUUUUUUUUGUGAUUGUUACAACCACAUAUAUAUAUAUAUAUAUAUAUAUAAUGAGGCCCUUAAAAGUAAGUUAACCAAGAAUUAGAGAGAGAGAGGUGUUGACAAUGAAAAGAUUUUAGAAAAUUUUGAUACAAACACUUCAUUAUUUAUUUAUUGUCAAAUGUGAAAGAAACGAUAAGAUAAUAUCCAGUUGUCAUCUGCUUAUAAAUAUGAAUAAGGAGGUUGACGCACAACUGGUACAUACUGCAUUGAAAUCGAAAGCUGAAGACCGAUCGGAAUUUGGGUUUGUGGUGGACGACUGCAGAGAAAUACUGGAGAAAAGAGGAAGCAUUUGUGUAAACUGUGUCCAUAGGAGUUGCAACAAGGCUUUGUCCACUCUACAUGCGUGUAUCCUGAUUUUCAUGUAUGGAUGGGUCUGUUACAAGUUAUUUAUGAUCUUAAUAAUAUUUGGCCAUUUAAAAAUAUAUAUAUAUAUAUAUAUAUGAAUUGGGAUUAAUUUAUCUCUUAUUUGUAUAUAUAGAUAUAUAUUGUGUAUAUAUUAUAUAUGAUUUAAUAUAUUAUCAGUUAUAUAAUAUGUGUGACUUCUUAGACAUAUGUUAAUUAAGUUUUUAAUUUAUAUUUAUUAUUUUGGUCAUUUCGGUGUCUAACAUAUAUUUUACUAGAACUAGUAACUUUUAUUUUUAAAAUAACAUUAUUUUUUAUAUUUAUUUUCAUCAAACUUAUAAUAAUUUCUUUACUCAAAAACACUUUCAAUGAACAAAUAUUUCAACAGUAUUUUAUAAGAUAUUGUAAAUUCAAACUAACUGGGUAUUUUUUUACUUUAUUCGUUAAAAAAUUGUAUUAUUACCUAAUAUACUACUUAAAUAAAUUAAUUAAUUUAAAUAAUUUUUACCCUAAAAAAGAUUGAUUUUUCACUAAAGCUCUCAAAUUUGAAAAUUUUAAUUUUUAUAUAGCAGGGAAAAGUACAAGUCCUUGUCAGCUUUACACAAGGAAACAAAAUAUACAACACUCCAAAGUGUUCUAUUUCGAAGGAGCAAUAAUGGCCUUAUAUUACUUAUCUUCAUUGAAGAUUUUCAGAAGAAGUCUUCCAAGGUACAUAUUAUUAAAUAUAUAUAGACUCAAGAGUAUAUUAGAGAUAAAUGUAACUGGAGCUGUGUGUAUAUAUGUGUAUAGAGGUGUAUAGCUGCCAAAUUGAUGAUGAUUAGACACAUCACAUAACUGAAGUUAGAUAAAAGCUAACCGUAGUCAGAUGUUGGUUAGUAUAAUUAGCUGUAAUUAAUAAUUGUUAGAGUGAUUAGUUUCAAUUAGUGGAUAAUUAAACUUGAUUACCUUCAUCUGUAUAAGUACUGUAAAGGUGAUUGAUGCAAAGCAGCUUUCAUUUUUUAUUAUAACAAACAAGGUCUCUCUCUCUCUCUCUGCUCUCCCGAUCGUCUCUCCAGUUUCUUCUUCUUGAGCUUCUCUGCUCAUUUAGAUUUCGUACAAAUCCCGUUUAGUUUUCCAAAAGAGUAUUCAUACGCACACAUACAUUCUUCCUCUAAAUAUUAACUAAAGUUAUAUAUUAGCGACAAACUAUUCAAUAUGAUGCUUGAAGGGUGGUCGCUGUGGAUGGAGGCAGAGCACACGACGAUAAUGGUUAGUAUCUUGGUUGCAACAGUCACCAUAUUUGUUGGGUAUAAAUGGUUGAUGAAGAUAGCCAUGAGAGGUAAGCCACCAUUGCCGCCUGGUCCAAGAGGCUUGCCUUUACUAGGAAAUCUUCCUUUUGUUGAACCAGAUCUUCAUAUUUACUUUUCAAAAUUGUCUAAAAAGUUUGGCCCAAUCGUCAAAAUCCAAAUGGGUACCAAAAUCUACAUCGUCAUUAACUCAGCUUCAUUGGCAAGACAAGUCCUCAAGGAAGAUGAUGUAAUUUUUGCUAACCGUGACCCCCCAGCCGCCGGACUAGCUCUCACAUUUGGUGGUCUUGACAUAUUAUGGAGGCCAAAUGGUCCUGAAUUCCGAUAUUUGCGCAAGAUUCUUGUUCGCGAAAUAAUGAGCAAGGCAUUCUUUGAUGCUUCUUACGGCCUUCGUCAAAGAGAGGUGCGAGAGAUGGUGAAAGAAAUCUAUGCAAAAGUUGGCUCACCCAUAAAAGUUGGGGAUCAGCUGUUCGUAACUUCUUUGAAUGUAGCAAUGAGCAUGUUAUGGGGUGCCUCUUUGGAUGAAGAAAAGAAAAUUAGUGUAGGGUUGGAGUUCAAGCAAGUUAUAGAGGAGAUAGUUGACCUUUUGGGUAAACCUAAUAUUUCUGACUUCUUUCCAGUCCUAGCUCCGUUGGAUUUACAAGGAAUUGUAUCAAAAAUGUUGAAACUCAGAUCAUGGCUAGAUAGGAUUUUCGAAUCAGUAAUUGCAAUAAAAACGAAAGUUGAUGGAGAAAGCACGGGGACAAGUAACGAAAAUAAAGACUUUUUGCAAAUUCUGUUGGAGCUUAUGCAGCAGGAAGAUGAAAAGAUGCUACUUUCCAAAGCUGACAUCAAAGCUUUGUUUGUGGUAAGUUAAGGCUUAAUUUAUACAUAUAUGUUUAUAUGUUAAUGGUUUUGCUUAUUUACACAUGCAGAAUGUUAUUACGGGAACAACAGAUACAUCAUCGAGUACCAUAGAAUGGGCACUAGCAGAGCUACUAAAAAAUUCAGAUAUUAUGAAGAAAGUACACGAAGAAUUGGAGAGAGUUGUUGGCAAUGAAAAAAUUGUAGAAGAGUGUGAUAUAAACCAACUACAUUAUUUACAGUCUGUAGUGAAAGAAACAAUGAGAUUACAUCCAGUUGUUCCUCUACUUGUCCCUCACAGUCCCAGUAUUUCAACAACUAUAGCUGGCUACAACAUUCCUAAAGGCUCAAAUGUUUUUAUUAAUGUUUGGUCAAUAAUGAGAGAUUCUAAGGCUUGGAAAAAUUCACUUGAAUUUCAGCCGGAGAGAUUCUUAGAACAUCCAGAAAUUGGUGAUUACAGAUGAAAUAAUUUCAACUAUCUUCCUUUUGGAUCAGGGAGGAGAAUAUGUGCCGGGAUUAACUUAGGAGAGAAGAUGGUAAUGUAUGUGCUAGCUACUCUCCUACAUUCUUUUGAUUGGAAAGUAGAAGAUGUUACAAACUUCAAUUUGUCCGAAAAAUUUGGUAUUGUAUUGAGAAAAAUGGAUCCCUUAGUAGCUAUACCAACUACUAGAUUGCCUAAUUUAGAGCAAUAUUUUUGAAACCUAAAUAUUCGGUUUGAGUUGAGUAGUUAUUGUUAAAUGUGAUAGAAUCCGUUAAUGAUAUGAAUUUGGUGUAAAUAAUAAAUUUUAGAGCAUAUAGUGAGGAUAUUUAUUAUUCUUGUCUUAUUUAAAAUAAGUGUACUAAAUCUUUCUUAUAGUUAUUAUUAACUAAUUAUCUUACCUUUGUUAAUUAUGUAAUAAAUACCCUAAAGGAAAAAAAAUUACCCUUAAAAAAAUAAGUUUUUUUUUUUAAAUUUUAUUUUUUACAGUUCUAAAAUUUAGAAAAAUUAAUUUUUGUAUAAAAUUAUUGUCAGCUUAAUCUGAAAAAUUAAUAUUUUCUAUAAUUGAGAAGGAAAGAAAAAAUUAAGGACCAAUGACGGCCUUGUAUUUCUUACCUUCAUACUACAGCUUACACGAGGUCUUGAAAGGUAGGCUUGCACUGUAAAUACCAUAAAUAAAGACUCAAAACAUGCACGCCCACAUUUGCUAUUCCUAUAGAUAUUAAGUAAAGUUAGGGAUGACAAUCUUGGUCAAAAUCUAUUCUACCCAAACCACCAAAACCUGACGCAAAUAAGUUUACAGUUUUGAAUCAGAAUGGGUUCGAUUGAUAGGGAUUAAUGUGUGUUGAAUAUUAUUAUUUAUUUACUUACGUUUAUCCUAUUUCAAUUGUCUUAGUCUUUAGCACGUGUACUAAUUUGGUACUCAGAAGAUGUAGACUUUUUCGUUUUUUUAAGAUAUUUGAGUAAUAAUAGAAGUUAGUGGUCUGUUACCUUAUUUUAAUGGUUUUUACCGUUAGAAAAACUCUAUUUAAAGAGCUCACCUACUGAAUGCAAGGUGUGAGAUUACAGCUUAUUGAAUAACGUCUAAGAUUCAUUCACUCUACUUUAGCUCAUAACAAUUUCUGUUUUCUGCUUCAGUUUUAUUAGUGGUAUUAGAGUCACGGGUUGGUUUUAGAGUGAAUAAUUGAGACAAAGAAAGAGAGUGAUGUGAGAUGAGAGUGAUACAACAGUAUCUUUAUUUUUGCAGCAACAAAUCAAUGGCGACGGAGACUUAUGUUCAACCAGUAAUUCCUCACUUCGAUAGUCACUAUAAUCAUUGGAGCAUGCUAAUGGAGAAUUUUCUCAUAUCCGAAGAGUACUAACAAAUCGUCUCUGUACGAAUUUCUAAACCAACAACUGGUGUAAUACCCGGACUUGAAAUUUAACUCGAGAUUAAUUUUAAAAUUUCAAAAAAAUGUAUAAAAAUAUAAUUUUAAAAUUAAUAAAUUUUUAAUUAAAGUGAAAUUAGAAAAAAAAUAGGUUGAGUAUGAAAUUGAAAAUAAUUUUGAAAAAAAUGAAUGAAAAUUUGGGUUCGGAUAGUGUUUUUGAAAAAAAAAAUCAGAAACUGGUGGUCAAAACGAAAUUAAAAAAAAUUGUGCUAUGUAGGACCGCCCAAUCAGCAGCCUCGACGAACCGGAGUGUGCCGUGUGGUAAGGCACACUGACUCGAUGCCACGCGGGAGGCCACACUUGCAAUCCGUGUGCUCACGAUCGGACAGUCCGGAUGUGUUCCAGCGCGCGUGGAUGGUCCAGAUCUGUUUCCUCCUUAUGUGCGAUCAGACGAUCGUGAUUAAAUACGAUGAACAGUUCAGAUUCAUUCCCUCUUUAAACAUGAUUGGAUGGUCGACAUCCAAUAGCAAUGAACGAUCAAUAUUCAUUUCUUCUUUAAAUGCGAUCGGACAGUCGAGAUCAAACGCGAUGAACGGUACAGAUCUAAGCGAGACGGGUAUAAAUAUCUCGCAUCAUACUAAAUCCAAACCCUAGUUAUCAUCCUCCCACCGGAGAAGAAUAACUAGUCACCGGAGAAGAAGAACCAGUCGCUAGAGAAGGGAGCCGACUGUCGCCCGCCGCCGCGUCGGAGCCACCUCUAACCGCUAAAAAAAGUAAAAAUUCUACUGUCCGCUCAAAAUUUGAUUCCGAAUACCCCCAUGGCAAAAUCAGAGUAAAAAGAACGGCGGAUGAGAUAGAAAUUGCGGGUAAAACCAUAAACCGCAUUUGAUGAGCCCCUUCUUGUUUCCCGUUUCAUGCAUUGUGUUCACCGUUUUGUUUUCUACAAGUUGAUCAAAGAAAAAGCCCACCAGCGAAGGUGAGCCGGUAAAGCCGCCACACCGAAAAAUUAUGCCGUCGGUAGGUUUUUAUUUUUUGACUUUUUUCGACCAACCAAGGUCCCCUAACGUGUUUUCUAUCAGCGAUGGGUAUAAAACUAGUCAAAACUAGUCAAAAUCGGCCGAAAAUGGCCAGGCUGAGGCAAACUGCCACUGCGGUCAGCAGUGCUGUUGCCUGAGCACGGCUGUGCCGCUGUGCCAGAAUUUUGAAAUUGGUUGAAAAAAAUUUUUAACACCGAUUUUAGAUUGUUUGGAGUACUUUUAGGUACGUGAAGCGUGUUUUAAUUUACGCAUAAAAAUUCAAGAAAUCUAGGGACCGCCAGUAAGCGUAGUAAAAAGUUCAGUGUUUUGGACACUGAUUCAGGUAAGAAUCCCUCAUCUUAUUUUCUUUUAUGGAAUUGAAAUUUAAUAAUCGGUAAUAUAAUAUUUUAUAUAAUUUAGAAAACUUUGAGAAUAAUUGCAAGUUACCAAUGGAGACGAAACCCGAUUAGUCAUUUAUUUGUUGUCCUGCUUAACUGAUGGUUGAAUUUACAACUUCAAAUAUAUGAUGAUAUAUUAGAAUGAUUAAUUGAUUCAAUUGUGUUUCCUUUAAUAUAUAUAUUGCUUGUCUUGCGUGAUUUACGGUUGAUUUGUGAAAUUAAAAAUUAAUAUGCAAACAAAAAAUUGAUUGGUCACGUGAAUUAAUAAAUGAUAGCCUUACUGGAUAUCUUGUGAGAUGGUGGACGGAUCGGGUACAUAGAGAACUUUACCGUGAACGUUGCCUCAUACCAAACGAGAUAUCGAUGAAUAGUAUUUUUGACGCUCAUACCGGAUGGGGUAUGGGGACGGCUUGAUUCACCCUCAUACCAGACGGGGUCUUGAGGAAUAGUAUUUUUGGCACUCAUACCGAACGAGAUAUGGGGAUGACCGUUAAGUUGAAAAUAUUGAAUAUUGGUUCGCUCGUGGUGAGACAUCUCUAUGCACCCCCAGGGAUAUCAGUAGUCAAAUAAAAAUGGAAAGUUAUUGUUCUUGCUCUCUUGAAUAUGAGGUUAGAAUGUUAUUUGAGUUAUUAUCUCUAUAGAUCGAUUUUAAAAAUCUUGCAACGGUAAAUAUAUACAAUAUAUGAUUUUCCUUAUGAUAAAUGAAUUUAGUUAAAUCAAGAGCUCCAUUGAUUGUUUUUAUAAUUUUUACUAACUUUCAGUUUAUGUAUCAGUAAGUAGUGUGAUAUUCUUACUGAGUUAGUGUAGCUCACCCAUUUAUUAACUAUUUCAGAUCAAGAGGAUCAAGGCCCACAUCCCGAUCAACAAGAGGGUUGUGAAUAGUUCACCACCCGGACUCCCUUCAAAAGCUAAUUGAACUCGUCUUAGAAUACUCAGUUAUUGGCUUUGUUUAUUUUUUUUAUUUUUGUAAUUUCUUUUAGAAGAGACAUUCUCGUAGCCUUAUUAGGCAUUCUAAAUUAUUGUGUAGGGAAUGUAAACUCUAAAUUCUAUUAUUUCGCUUCCGUAUUUAAUUUAUGACUUUAUUUCCUUUUAGAUUCCGAGCCUUUAUAACUGAUACAACAAUAACUAAUACACAAAUAAAAUUAGAAGUGCGAUGGUUAAAGGAUCUCAAGGCGAAGAACUAUCUUUUCCAAGCAAUUGAUCGCUCAAUCUUGGAAACUAUUCUUUUGAAAGAAACCUCUAAGCAGAUUUGGGACUUCAUGAAAAAGAAAUAUCAAAGAUCAACAAGAGUAAAAAUGUAGCAGCUUUAAGCACUUCAUUCGGAGUUUGAAACUCUACAAAUGAAAUUCGGAGAGUUAGUUUCAGACUAUUUUUCACGGGUGAUGACAAUAGUAAACAAAAUGCGAAUUUACGGUGACAAGAUAGAAGAAGUUACAAUUGUUGAAAAGAUUCUUCGAACUAUGACACCAAAAUUUAAUUUUAUAGUUUGUGCCAUAGAAGAAUCUCAUGAUAUUAAUAUGUUUGCACUUGAUGAGUUACAGAAGUCUUUGUUGAUACAUGAACAAAAUAUUAAUCAACAAGAAAAGGAAGAGCUAGCAUUGAAGGCCUCAAUAGAAAAUCAUUCAACAGAUAAUCGAACUGGAGGUCGAUGCAGCAGUACAGGAAAUAACAGAGGCAGAGCCAAAGUUAAAUGCAGUAAUAAUCAACAAGGACAACACCAAGAAAAUUAGUUUCAAAGAAAAGGAAGGGGACAAGGUGGCUACAACUCAAAAUCAUUAGACAAAUCCAGAAUUUAAUGUUAUAGAUGCCAUAAAUAUGGUCAUUAUAAGUCAGAAUACCGAACAAAUUUGUCCAAAGUACAUGGAGAAGAAUCUAACUUUGCAGAAAAAAAGAAAAAAGAGAUAUCAUUAUUUAUCGUUUGUCACAUGAAGGAAGAAACUACAAGAAUUUAUGGUAUCUUGACAUNNNNNNNNNNNNNNNNNNNNNNNNNNNNNNNNNNNNNNNNNNNNNNNNNNNNNNNNNNNNNNNNNNNNNNNNNNNNNNNNNNNNNNNNNNNNNNNNNNNNNNNNNNNNNNNNNNNNNNNNNNNNNNNNNNNNNNNNNNNNNNNNNNNNNNNNNNNNNNNNNNNNNNNNNNNNNNNNNNNNNNNNNNNNNNNNNNNNNNACAAGAAAACAGAGGACUCCGCAUACGCAAACUCUUUUUUUUUGCCUUCUCUAUCUCUCUCUAAACUCUCUCUCUAAAAUUAUAGCAAAAAUUGUGAUCGUUUUUUAUUCAAAAUCUACAAGUGGUAUCAGAGCUGUAUGAUCUUAAAGGAUCUGUAAGAAGAAAUCGAAAAAACAAAAUACAGAACGGCAACAAACCCGACUGGCACACUAAAUCUUCCUCUAUUUAUAGGAGAAAAUUAUCAUGUAUGGACAAUAAAGAUGGAGAUGUAUCUGCGAGCCCACAGCCUGUGGAAGGUCGUAGAAGACGAUGCAGAACCAGCAUCAUUGAAAGAUGAUGCAACAGUAAACCAACUAAAGAGGUAUGAAGAAGACAUCUCUAAGAAUCCUCGGGCUCUGUCUUGUUUGCAUACGACAAUAUCAGAUUUGGUCUUCUCCAGAAUAAUAAACUUGAGAAACCCAAAGCAAGUAUGGGACAAAUUGAAGGAGGAGUUUGAAGGUGAUGAAAGAAUCAAGAUGGUGAAAGUUCUGAAUCUAAGAAAGCAAUUUGAAACACUGAAGAUGGCAGAGGCAGAAACCGUAAAGGAGUAUGCCUCAAAACUACUUGAUACAGUAAACAAGAUCAGAUUGCUCGGAGAAGACUUCGAAGAUAGAAAAGUAGUCAAAAAAAUGUUGGUGAGCCUCCCUGCCAGAUUCGAGGCCAAAAUCUUAGCGAUAGAAGAAACAUGCAAUCUGAAAACUCUCUCAGUUGCAGAAUUAUUGGGCAAGCUGCAAACAUUGGAGCAUAGGACAGCCUUGAGAGAAACAAACUCCACCGAAAUAGCACUAGUAGCUACACAAAAUAGAAGCAAGAAUCAAGGCAGAGGAAGAGAAUGAAGAAGAAAUUAAGAUGAUCAAGUCACACGAUCAAUACAAAUUCAAACAAUCACAACAAUAAGCAGCAAAAGGGAUUACCAAACUACAGAAUAUGUGCUCGCAAUGACCACCUAGAACAAGACUGCUGGUAUAAAGGGAAGAACCCUAUCAAGUGUAAUUACUGCAAGAAGGGCCGACACAUCGAAAAGGUGUGCCGAUGGAAAAAAAAAAUGAAGGUAACACAGCUGCUUCUUCUACUCAAAAUCAGUCUCAACAAGAAGUAAAUUAUACUGAAGAAAUCAAAUGAGAAGAGCAGAUGUUUAUGGCACUCAGCGAGCAAUCAGAGGAAGCUGACACUCACUGAAUAAUUGACAGUGGCUGUACAAUCCACAUGUGCAAAAACGAAAGAAUGUUUUCUGAUCUUAACAAAGAUACAAAACUCAACAUAACUCUAGGUGAUGGAAAGGCAUUAAGAGCAUAAGGAAAAGGAAGCAUUGCAAUAACCACGAACUAAGGAAAAAAGGUCAUACCUGACGUUCUGUAUGUGCCUGGCCUGAGGCAAAAUUUGUUAAGUAUGAGCUAAAUAAUCAAAAGGGGAUACACCGUGGUCUUCUUGGAAAAUUCAUGCUCUAUAAAAGACUCAUGUGGGUAUGAAAUUGCAAACAUUCCAAUGAUCAACAGAAGCUUCACUUUGAAGCUACAAGGAGCUGAAGAAAAACUAAGGUGCACUGCUCAAAACGACACCAUUCUAUGCAUCGAAGAUUUGGACAUGUGCAUCUUGAAGCCCUUAAGAAGAUGAACUCAUUAAAAUUAAGUCCAUAUCUCCCUAAAAUCAUAGGAGAAAAGUGGAUUUGCCAAAUCUGCGAACUUGGGAAUAUACACAAAUAACUCUUCCUGUUAAAGUCUUCCUGGAGAGCAAAUACCAAGCUUGAAUUGAUCCACACAGACAUCUAUGGUCCUAUGAGCACAGAGUCACUAAGCAACAAUAGGUACUUCAUCCUGUUUAUUGACGAUCACUCCAGAAUGACAUGGAUCUACUUCCUAAAAACAAAGAAUGAAGCUCUGCAAAAGUUCAAGGGGUUCAAAGCUGAAACAGAAGCAGAAAAUGGAAUGAAACUGAAGUGUUUGAGGUCAGAUAAUGGUCUGGAGUUCACUUCAACAGAGUUCAAGGAUUUCUGUAUUAAAGAAAGCAUAAAACGACAAUUAACAGCCCCCUACUCUCUACAGCAAACUGGAGUAUCAUAAAGAAAAAAUAAAACUGUGGUUGAGAUGGCAAGAAACUUACUCAAGGAUAAACAACUGCCUUUGUAAUUUUGGUGUGAAGCCAUGAACACUUCUGUAUACCUGUUGAACCGACUUCCUUCUUGGGCUAUUGAGGGAAAGACUUCAUAUGAAUGCUAGAGUGGAAGGAAGCCUGCUACAAGGCAUCUACGGGUGUUUGGUUCCAUCUGCUACUGUUAUGUAGCAUAAGAGAAAAGGAAUAACCUUGAUGACAAAACAGAAAUUUAUAUCUUUUUGGGUUAUAAUACAGAAAUAAAAGGAUACAGGGUCUCCAAUCCUAAGACCAAAAAAGUUAUGGUCAGAAGGGAUAUGGUAAUUGAUGAAGCAUCUCACUGAGAUUGAAAGGAUGAAAAGAUAAUCCCCGAUGAUAUAAGUUCUACUUCAAAACAAGCUCAAGAAGAAAAUGAAGAAGUGAAUAAUUAAGAGUCACAAAAAUCACCAAAUAAAAUGACAAGAAGCUUAUCUGACAUCUAUGCUCAAUGCAACAUUGCUGUUACAGAGCCAACAACGUUUGAAGAAGUUGCUCAACAUGAGGUUUGGAGAAAAGCAAUGGAAGAAGAGUUGAACAUGAUCAAGAAAAAUGCCACUUGGUCCCUGGUUCCCAAACUAAAAGGUAAAAAUGCAAUCAGAGUUAAAUGUGUCUUCCGGCUUAAAAUAAACCCAGAUGACUCAAUUAAUAAGUACAAAGCAUGCCUGGUAGUGAAAGGUUAUACUCAAUUACCAGGAGUGGAUUUUGGGGAGACAUUUGCCCCCAGUAGCAAGACAUGAAAUGAUAAGGUUUCUACUUACUGUGGCAGCACAAAGAGGUUGGCAUGUCUUGCACCUUGAUGUAAAAUCUACUUUUUUGAAUGGUGAAUUGGAAGAGGACAUAUUUGUCCAACAAUCGAUAGGAUUUGAAGUAGAAGAGAAGGCUGAUCAUAUGUAUAAAUUACAUAAAGCACUAUAUGGUCUGAAACAAGCUCCCAGAGCAUGGUAUGACAGAAUUGAUGCAUACCUGCUCCACUGUGGGUUCAAAAGAAGCAAGAACGAAGCAACCCUAUAUGUCAAACACCUAAAGGAUGGAAAAAUGGUCAUCAUAUCACUGUAUGUUGAUGAUAUUCUCAUCACUGAAAAUGAUGAACAAAGAAUAAAGGAACUUAGAACACAACUAGAGCAGGGAUUUGAGAUGUCAAAUCUUGGGAGAGCGACCUAUUUUCUGGGAAUGGAGAUCGCUCAAUCUGAGAAAGGGAUCUUUAUAUCACAAAAGAAGUAUGCAAGGGAAUUGCUCAAAAAAUUUAAGCUUGAAAAUUACAAAGCCGUACCUACCCCUCUCAUAUCACAUAUUAAACUGUCAAAAGCUGAAGCAGAAGAAAUGGUGAAUGAGAAAGAGUUCAGGAGUAAAAUUGGCAGCUUACUCUACCUAACUACCACUCGACUAGAUCUAACUUAUGCAACCAGCCUGUUAUCUCGGUUUAUGAAUUCACCAAGAUAAUCACACAUGGCAGUGUUAAGCAUAUCCUAAGAUAUGUAAGAGGAACAACUGAUUUAGGAAUCCAUUUUCAAGCUCACACAGAAUGAGAGCAUCUAAAAUACACGGACAGUGAUUGGGCAGGAAGUGUGGAGGAUGUUAAAAGCACAUCGGGGUAUAUUUUUUCACUUAGUUCUGGUGCAUUUUUAUGGUCGUCAAAGAAGCAAAAAAUUGUUGCACAGUCAUCCGCUGAAGCUGAAUACAUAGCAGCAGCAGGAGCUGUAAAUCAAGCUCAAUGGUUAAGGAAAAUACUCGAUGAUCUAUAGAUGCUUUCCACUGAACCUACGGUCCUCUAUAUCGAUAAUAAAUCAGCAAUCGCCAUUGCUAAAAAUCCGGUGUUGCAUGGAAAGAUUAAGCACAAAAAGGUUAAGUUCCACGCUAUAAGAGAAACAGAAAAGGAGAAAGAAAUAAGCCUAGUACACUUUGCAACAAAAGAUCAAGUAGUAGACAUCUUUACCAAGACCUUGCCGAAAGGUAAAUUUGAAGAACUAAGGAAAAUGUUAGGGAUGAAUAAAAUCCUUAAAGAGGAGUGUUCCACGUAAGGAUUUCAUUUAAUAUAAAAAUCUAUUUGAAAUAAAGCUUCGAAUAGAUAGGUGGCAGAAUGCAUAUAGAACACCGACAUGCAUGCGGUUUAGGAUUGUUUUAAAUUCUAUAUUUAAAGUUUGUUUUUAGUUAGAAUUCGAAUUAUGUUUUUUGAGUAGGACUCUAAUUUAAUUAUGUGUAUAAAUACCACUUCAAAUCAAUCAAUAAAGUUAAGUUCUUUCCUCUCAAAAAAUUUCUAGAGUUUAAGAGAAACAAAAAAACAGAGGACUCCGCAUACGCAUACUCUGUUUUUUUGCUCUCUCUCUCUCUAAACUCUCUCUAAAAUUACAACAAAAACUGUGAUCGUUUUUUAUUCAAAAUCUACACACACCUCAACAAAAUGGUGUUUGUGAGCGAAAGAAUCGAACAAUCCUCAAUAUGGUGCGAAGUAUGUUGAUAACAAGUGUUAUUCCAAAAGGAUUUUGGCCUGAAGCUGUUGCCUGGAGCAUUCAUAUACUGAACAGGAGUCCUACAUUUGCUGUCCAAGAUAAGACUCUGGAAGAAGCAUGGAGUGGACAAAAACCAAAUGUUGACAAUUUCAGAUUUUUUGGGUGUAUUACGUGUGGCCAUAUUCCAGAUGCGCAGAGGAAGAAGUUGGAUGAUAAAGGAGAAAAAUGCAUUUUUCUUGGUGUUAGUAAUCAAUCCAAAGCUUAUAAACUUUAUAAUUCUAACACCAAGAAAAUUAUUAAUAGCCGUGAUGUAAUUUUUGAUGAAGACACAACUGGCCAUGGAAUGAUAAAUAAAUUCAGCAACAUAUUCCAGUGGACUUUGAAGAAAAAAAACAGCAAGAAAUGGAGACUAAUCAAUCGCUAAUUCCAACUGUUCCAGCUCAACUAUCAAUUCCAGCUUAUACACAAGAAGUGGACUGACCUCAACAUAUUAGGAGAUGACCUGCAUGGAUGACAGAUUAUAAGGUAACUGGAAUUGAUCGGUCUGAAGAUUCACUUAUUCACUUUGCUUUGUUUUUGGACUGUGAUCCUACGACUUUUGGUGUGGCUGUUAAAGAAUAAAAAAGAAUCAAAGUGGCGAAAGGCAAUUGAUGAAGAUAUUGCAGUAAUUGUAAAAAAUAAUACUUGGGAAUUGAUUGAGCUUCCUAAGGGACAUAAAACAAUUGGUGUGAAGUGGAUAUACAAGACAAAAUUGAAUGAGAAUGCCAAAGUCAAUAGGUACAAAGCAUGUUUAAUAGCUAACGGCUAUAAACAAAAGUUCGGUGUGGAUUAUAGAAAAGUAUUUGCACCAGUUGUACGACUUGAUACCAUCAGAUUGGUGAUUGCAUUGGCUGCUCAAAAUUCAUGGCUUAUUUUUCAAUUGGGUGUUAAAUUGGCUUUCUUGCAUGGAGACUUAGAUGAACGGAUAUUUGUUGAUCAACUCCUUGAUUAUGUUAAGAUUGGAGAAGAACAUAAAAUGUACAUAUUAAAAAAGGCACCAUAUGUAUUAAAACAAGCUCUAAGAGCUUGGUAUAGUCAUAUAGAUGCUUAUUUUUUUAAGAAGGGAUUUAAAAAAUGUCCAUAUGAGCAUACACUUUUACAAAGAUUAAUGAUAAGGGAAGAAUGCUCAUUGUUUGUUUAUAUGUAGAUGAUUUAAUUUAUAUUGGAGAUAAUAUUUCCAUGUUUGAAAGUUUUAAGAAGUCCAUGGAAGUGGAAUUUGAUAUGAUUGAUAUAAGACUGAUGCAUUAUUUCCUUGGCAUUGAGGUAGUUCAAUCAGCUGGUGGAAUUUUUAUUUCAAAGAAAAAGUAUACACGAGAUAUUGGACAGGUUUCAAAUGAAGAAUUGUAAUUCUGUCAGUAGUCCCACUGAGCCUGGUUUGAAACUAAUUAAAGAGCCUGGAGAUAGAAGAGUUGACAACACUCUUUACAAACAAAUAGUGGGAAGUUUGAUGUAUUUAACGGCCACAAGGCUUGUGUAUGCUGUAAAUCUUAUCAACAGAUACAUGGAAAGUCUAAGGGAGAUACUUCUUCUUGCUGCAAAAAGAAUUUUCGAUACCUGCAAGGAUCUGCAAAUUAUGGUCUAUUCUACAAGAAAAGAGAACAGACAGACUUAACUGGAUUUACUGACAGUGAUUAUACUGGAGAUUUGAAAGAUAGAAAGAGUAUGUCAGGUUAUGUUUUUAUGAUAAGUUCAGAGCAAUUUCAUGAUCGUCAAGGAGGCAGCCAAUUAUGACUUUAUCAAUUACANNNNNNNNNNNNNNNNNNNNNNNNNNNNNNNNNNNNNNNNNNNNNNNNNNNNNNNNNNNNNNNNNNNNNNNNNNNNNNNNNNNNNNNNNNNNNNNNNNNNNNAUUCUACACAUCUCAUCGUGCUUUCUAACUUCAAUAUUAUCCAACAAUGUACUAUUUAAAUCAUAAUACCUUCAAUGAGAAUGUAACACAAUUUUGCUUUAUUUCUGGGUUCAUAACAUGGUAUCAGAGCCAUCAUAGAACAAAGAAAAACAAUGGCUUCUUCCGAUCAACUCUCCCUCAUCUCUACUUUCUCAAACAGCAAUCCCAUAACCACUCACCAUUCCUUCUCUAUCAAAUUAAAUCCUAAAAACUACCUGGCAUGGAAAACUCAGUUCAUGCCUAUCCUAAACUAUCAAAAUCUCAAAGGCCUUGUUGAUGGCAGUGAAUCGGCACCACCCGAAUUGCUAGUCACUGGUGAACCUCCCACCAUCACUGCCAAUCCUGCGUAUUUUGCAUGGUUUCGGAAAGAUUAAAUGCUCCUUUCGUCGCUUCUAUCCUCCUUAUCAGAGGAAAUUUUUCUGUACAUUAUUGAUCUCACCUCCUUAUUCUCUGUCUGGAAUGCCUUAACAACUGCAUUCGACUCUGUAUCUUAAAACCACCAACUUCAAUUACAUAUUGAGCUGCAGGAUGAGAUAUCUUUAACACUCAGAUAUCUUACCUUCGUAUUAUAUAUAGACUCAGAAGAUGCAUGCCCACAUAUUCCUUACAUAUUCGCUGUUCUUGUAAAUAUUAUUCAAGUUUGGGAUGACAAUGUUGGUCAAAUUUAUUAUAUUCAAACCAGCAGAACUCAGCCCAAACAAAUUCUAGGAUUUAGAUCGGAACAUAUUAGAAUUGAUAGGAAAUUAUGUACAAGGCAGGAUGCAUUCGGGUUUAACACACCAAAAUCUGUCCAUACCGAACUGCAGAGAUGUAUUUUUUUUUUAUUAAUUUAUAUAUGUAUAUCAUGUAUAUAUUAUAUAUUAUGUAUAAUAUGCUAUAGAUUAUAUAAUAUAUGUGAUCCCUUAAGAAAUUUUAAUAAUUGUCACAUAUUUUUCGAUUAUUUCAGUGUCAAUAUUUUUUAAAGUGAUAAUAUUUUAUUUAUUUAUUUUCAUCUAGCACAUGACAAUCUUUUUACUAAAGAUCACUUUCACCAAAUAAAUAUUUCAGCAGCACUUUAUAAAAUACUGUAAGAUGGAAUCAAAUUGUUUAUUUUCUUUUCUACUUGUUAGAAGAUUAUAUUGUAAAUAUGUAUAAUAUAUCAAUAAAUAUGUAUAAUAUAUCAACUAUGUAAAUAAAAUAGUUUUAAUAACUUUUACCCUCCAAAAAUAAAGAUUUGUCUAUAAAAUCCUCAAAUUUGAAAAUUAUAAAUGUUGUACAGCAGAGGAAAGUAUAAGUCUUUGUCAGCUUUACACAUGUAUGACACUGUUUAGAGAAUUGGAUUUCUACGGCUAGAAGAAAAAGAAAAAGGAAUCGAGUGACACAAUGGCACAACUGAUUACCAUGAUUCUUCCCGCAAGUACGGCAGGUCGAUGCCUUACUAGGUGCUGAUGGUGGUAUAGGAGAUAUUUUUGUUGUCAUUCUAGGACUUUUAUCUUAUGAACCAAACACUAGAGUCGGCUUUCUCAGAGGUACAGAAGGUAUAGAACUGUUUGCUCCUGAAGAUGAACCCUUAAGUCUACUUUCUACUAUCUCUGCUUUUGCCAAGACUUCAUCAUAAGUACUCAAUUCUAAAAUUGUAAGAGAAUCCUGAAUUUUUGGGUGUAGCCCUCACUAGAACUUCCUUACCCUUUGUCCUUCAUCAAUCAGAAUUGUCGGAGCAAAACGAGUCCAUUUAGUGAAUCUCUGAGCAUACUCAACUACUGACAAGUUUUCCUGAAUUAACUGCAUAAAUUCCAACUCCUUCUGAUAUCAAAGUCAUGUAGAAAAUAUUCAGUGUUGAACGCCCCCAGAAAUUGUUCCUAGUGAUGGGAGUAGGUAAAGUGGUCUGUCUGAACUCCCACCAAUGAUCAAUUUCAGUUACAGUAUGUAUGUAACAAGAAUUACUUUUUACUCAGUAAUCACCCCUAAAACUCUGAAUGCCUUUUCACUGCUUUACAUCUCAGCUUCAUAAAAUUCUUUGUAUCUGCAAAAUAUGNNNNNNNNNNNNNNNNNNNNNNNNNNNNNNNNNNNNNNNNNNNNNNNNNNNNNNNNNNNNNNNNNNNNNNNNNNNNNNNNNNNNNNNGAAAAGAUGGAUUAGAAUAUCUAAUAUACAUUCUACUCUUCAACAUCCAAAAAAAAUGUAAGAGAUAACAUUUAAACUCUAAAAACUCAUGCACAAGGGAUGAUUAUAAGAAUGUGGGCUCUAAUACCACCUGUAACACCCCAAACUCGUUAAUGAGUCGUAAUUCGUACUCAUGUCAUUUUCAUACGAUAGGAUCACAAAAUAUGCAUAUGCAUAGCUCAAAAAUUUAACAUACAACAUAACAUCUCAUUUUAAAAUUUUUAUUUACUUCUUUUUUAUUCUAUUUUUCUCUUAAAUUUUAUUUAAAUUAAUAGUUUCACAAUCAUAAUUAUUCUCUUCUAUUUUUAUUCAUUUUCUUACAUUAUUUUAUUUUUUUUAUCGAUCUUCCGCUUUAUUGGUGAUUUCUUUUAAUUUAAAUUUUAUUCUUAUCAUCAGGUUAGGUAUUCCUUAGUUCUUGAUUUUUUUAGUCUCCAUCUCCUCAUAAAUUUCAAACAAGUUAGGGUUCACUUGUCAUAGGUUCGGGUUUUGUUCUUUAUCCAGAAAUUGGGCUAGUAUCUGUUUUAUGUUUAAAACACACACAAAAUUAAUAAUGUGUGCAUAAAUUUAAAAAUCUUAAUCUAGGUUCAGAAUCGGAAAUACUUACAACUCCUUUACGCAACAACCUUUCUAAAUCUACUUGAAUCUUCCUAGAUCUGCUCGAACAUUCUAUUUCAUGGUAUACCACAUGAUACAGAUUAAUUAAUGUACUACAAAUAUUAAAUAGAGGCUAAAUUCAACUAGAAUCAUGGGUUUCAAUGACAACCCGACGAGAUGCCCAACUCACCGCGUAAGGGUGAGCAAUCUGCUCCCUUACGGUCCUGAGUCCCAAACUUGUAAGGUUUUUAUUCGUGAAAUGAUGAGCAAGACAUGUUUUGAUGCUUCUUAUGGCCUUCGUCGAAGAGAGUUGUGAGAGAUGGUGCAGGAAAUCUAUGCAGAAGUUGGCUAACGCAUAAAAGUUCGAAAUCAUAUGUUCUUAAUUUCUUUGAAUGUAGUAAUGAGCAUGUUGUGGGGUGCCUCUUUAGAUGCAGAUAAAAAACAUAAUGUUGGGUUGGAGCUCAUGCAAGUUAUAGAGGAGGCGAUUGAUCUUUUGGGAAAACCUAAUAUUUCUGAUUUUUUUUCCUAUCCUUUCCCCGUAGGAUUUACAAGGAAUUGUAUCAAAAAUGCUGAAACUCAUAUUACGAUUCGAUAAUAUUUUUGAAUCAGUGAUUGCAAUAAAAAAAAGCACGAAGACAAGUAAUGAAAGCAAAGAUUUUUUGCAAAUUUUGUUGGAGCUUAUGCAG